ensembl:lncRNA
GCCAAUGCUGUGUUUGGUUUGAAUGGUCCAAGUCCAUUUUCCGGGGUACCUGAUAACAUCUUCCACGGGGCAGAACUGGAUUUUCUCCCAUAUCUUAAAUUACAGAUUUAAAGACGGGUUCUGCUCCACUGCGUCAGUUUACCCAUCAGAUACUCCAAUUGCACUGUCUUACUCAUAAACCUUGGUAGCUGUUAUUUCGCGCCUCUCUGGGCUUCUCCAUUUCUCUUCUGAGUUUGGACCCCGGCCCUGCUCUCCAGCCACCAAAUGCAUCUCGGGUGGGUUCAGUGUUGGUCAGUUGUUGCUCGUAACAGCGGCAGCAGCUCCUCCGUGUAGACAGGGCAAAGCAUCACUGUGCUGCAGAGCAAGCAACUACAGAAUCAGUCUCCGAAUCUGAGGAGCCAGAGCGGUGAACCAACGUCCAGAACAGCCUCGUCCCCUUCGCGGUCGUGGCCCGUCAUUCUCGCAAAGCACUGUGGGCCAGGAACUCCAACCCCAACUUCACAAGCAAGGAACUGGCGGCUCACAGCAGUUAAGCAAAAUGCCCAAAGUUAAAAAUCCCUAAGUGGCAGAGAAAAAUGUCAGUGUCAUAGAACAGACACAUUUGGGACUGGCGAUCUGUUCCACAAAGAAAUUCUUUCCUUUUCAUAGAAGGAUAAGCGUUCUAAAUGCUAAGCUUCCCCUCGUGUGAUACAUAAAUGUACUUGGAAAAUAUCUGCCACGCAACUUUUCAGAAAUCUGCACCACUGCAGCGAGGAGAUCACGGAACAGAAGCCCCUCUGGCCCUGGAGGAAGGGAGGCUCCCCGCAGGCCUCCAGGCCAUCUGCUGACCCUGCCCCUCCCCGUCCAUCCGCUGGCCCUGCCCCAUGAGCGCAAGAGGUCGCUUCUGCCCUCGCUCCCGAGUGGCUGGGCUUCACCCGUGAUGCAAGGAUUUGUGAAUUCAGAUUCCAACGCUUCUGAGUGCUUAUUAGCAAAACCAGACUCUGUGCCCCAGAAUUAAAGAAAAAUAAGACAAACAAGAUGUGUGUGAGUCUACGGGUCUACACACAACCGUCAAGUAUUUUCCUGUAACAUGGAGCCUGAACAUAUUCAGUUUCAGGAAAAAUCCCCCCAGAAGGGGCUCCAAGUAGUCACCAGGCUGCCGCCUCCCGACCCACUGGG